rnacentral:tRNA from 1 species
CACUAAGAAGCUACCUAGCAUUAGCCUUUUAAGCUAAAGAGGGGAUAAUUAUCCCCUUAGUGAA